rnacentral:snoRNA from 1 species
CACGCCCCCAGAGGCCUUGCAGGUGUGGCUGCUGUUUCACGUGUGCAUCAGUAGGUGGCAGAGCAGAGGGCGGUUACGUCUUACGCUCAAUGUUCUGACCUGUGAACAUCUGAAUGUUGUGUAGCCUAACAUU